rnacentral:rRNA from 1 species
GGGACACGUGGUAUCCUGUCUGAAUAUGGGGGGACCAUCCUCCAAGGCUAAAUACUCCUGACUGACCGAUAGUGAACCAGUACCGUGAGGGAAAGGCGAAAAGAACCCCGGCGAGGGGAGUGAAAAAGAACCUGAAACCGUGUACGUACAAGCAGUGGGAGCACGCUUAGGCGUGUGACUGCGUACCUUUUGUAUAAUGGGUCAGCGACUUAUAUUCUGUAGCAAGGUUAACCGAAUAGGGGAGCCGAAGGGAAACCGAGUCUUAACUGGGCGUUAAGUUGCAGGGUAUAGACCCGAAACCCGGUGAUCUAGCCAUGGGCAGGUUGAAGGUUGGGUAACACUAACUGGAGGACCGAACCGACUAAUGUUGAAAAAUUAGCGGAUGACUUGUGGCUGGGGGUGAAAGGCCAAUCAAACCGGGAGAUAGCUGGUUCUCCCCGAAAGCUAUUUAGGUAGCGCCUCGUGAAUUCAUCUCCGGGGGUAGAGCACUGUUUCGGCAAGGGGGUCAUCCCGACUUACCAACCCGAUGCAAACUGCGAAUACCGGAGAAUGUUAUCACGGGAGACACACGGCGGGUGCUAACGUCCGUCGUGAAGAGGGAAACAACCCAGACCGCCAGCUAAGGUCCCAAAGUCAUGGUUAAGUGGGAAACGAUGUGGGAAGGCCCAGACAGCCAGGAUGUUGGCUUAGAAGCAGCCAUCAUUUAAAGAAAGCGUAAUAGCUCACUGGUCGAGUCGGCCUGCGCGGAAGAUGUAACGGGGCUAAACCAUGCACCGAAGCUGCGGCAGCGACGCUUAUGCGUUGUUGGGUAGGGGAGCGUUCUGUAAGCCUGUGAAGGUGUGCUGUGAGGCAUGCUGGAGGUAUCAGAAGUGCGAAUGCUGACAUAAGUAACGAUAAAGCGGGUGAAAAGCCCGCUCGCCGGAAGACCAAGGGUUCCUGUCCAACGUUAAUCGGGGCAGGGUGAGUCGACCCCUAAGGCGAGGCCGAAAGGCGUAGUCGAUGGGAAACAGGUUAAUAUUCCUGUACUUGGUGUUACUGCGAAGGGGGGACGGAGAAGGCUAUGUUGGCCGGGCGACGGUUGUCCCGGUU